rnacentral:snRNA from 1 species
GAUAGCUUAAAAUAACCGGUU